GAUGGGGGCGCAUGGCGCCCCAUCCUAUAUGGCGCCCUAGGCAGCUGCCUAGUUCGCCUUAUAGGAAGCGCUGGCCCUGCUUGUGUGUAAUGGUGAGGCCAGGGCCGGACUGGGGAUACAAAGCAGCCCUGGAAAAAAAAAUCUAUGCCAGCCCCAUAAGUCAUUGCGCCAUAUAUUGUCACAUGUAAUAUGUAAGGCUAUGUCUUGCCACCCCAGAUGAUUGAGAUAUAUAUAUAUAUCUCAAAUAUAUAUUGAUUUUUCUAAUAUAAAACAUUGGUUUAUAAUAUAAAAUGUUUAAUUAUACAGUAAGCAUACUCACAAGCAGACAAAGACAAUCUCACUGACACACACAAGCUCAUUGAUACACAGCCACAUAGACAAACAAUCUCAAUUAUCUACAUAAGCUCAUUGACAUAAAAACACAAGCUCGCUCACUCACUAGCAGGCGCACACACACACACACACAGCUUAAUGUAGUGGUUCUGGUGUCUAUAGCCUGUCCCUGCAGGCUUUUCAAUGUAAACCCUGACUUUUCAGACAAAAAGGCAGUGUUUACAUUGCUUCCUAGUGACACCUCUAGUGACAGACACUCAGUCACUAGAGGUGCAUCCUGUGUCAGUGCGGAUUGGCUGAGAUCAUCAAGCUUGAUGAUCUCAGUCACAGAGGCAGGGCCAGCCGAGGGGAGAUCAGCACGACGUUGGGGAAAAAGAAGGUGAGUAAAAACACUAUUUUUAAUAACACACACAGACACACAAACACCACGACAGACACACACAUAUAUCAUGACAGACACACACACCCCCAUGACACAGACAUAUGCCAUGACAGACACACCUACACCUUGACACACACACAGACCAUGACAGACACACAUGGAUAAAGGCAGCCAGUUGGUGCCGAAACGUUGGUGAAUCGUGUUUCUGUCUUGAGGCUUGUAAGAAUUUUUGUGGUAAUUUAUUAUUUUAUUGUAUUUGCCCUUGCUUCUGUCACUUUGUUUAUUUUUUUUCUUAUAUGUUUUCACUCUGGUACUUUUGUGUACACAAUAAAGCUAAGGUUUUUUUAGAUUGUUAUAGUGUGGAUUCUAUAUACAUUUGAAUAUUUAAAGCACUUGAGGGAGUGUUUAUAUGGUUUGCAUCUGGCUGUUCUUAUAAUAUUUUGUCUCUCCAUGUGCUGUUGUUUUGAGACACACACACACACACACACCAUGACACAGACACAUACACUCCCACUGACAGACUGACAUACAUAAUUGUUUCUACCUGUGGGCUGCUUAAUGAGACCGGGGCCGGAAUAUGACGUCAUCUUCUGGCCCCGGUCUUAUUAAGUAGCGUGCAAGGGAGCUGAGGCAGAACACACAGCUUCCCCUGCGGCCGCCAUCAGAACUCUCCCUGCGGCUACCAUCAGAGCCAGCUUCCCCUGCGGCUGCCAUCAGAGCUCUCCCUGCAGCCGCAGGUCACCCAAAUGUCUCCUAAGCCCCAGUUUCCGACGUCCCACCGGAAAAUUUCCCAGUAUCCCGGUGGUGAGGCUGCCUGUGGUGUUGCAGGUGUGUUGUCAGAGUAUUUAUAUCGGCAGACAUCUUGUGCUAUGAUAGAAAUUAAAAGUGUAUAUGCUGAGUCACUUUUGAACAGAGCAGAUUCCAUUUUGUUAUUUUCAAGCUAACAAAAGACACAAGAUUUCUAUCUGUAAAACUAACCACUUUCCCAGAGCUAAAGGAAUGCAUAGUAUAUACAAACCAAGUGAUAAGGAGAACGGGGGUUGGACAGACUGUCUAAAUGCUAAUGGAAUAUAAUCAAUUCUAAACCCAGACAUUUGUGACAGAGAAGAUUAAAUAAUUUAAUUUUACUUUUUAUAUUAUAUAACCUCCCAUUGUAGUUUAAGGUGAAACUUAGUUUACGAACUGUCAUAUUAGAAAUUAUAGCAGGAAUUGCAGACACUAAGUCUGGACAAAACUAAGAAAAAACCCUUUGAAGUGAAAGAAAACAUAAGUUAUGGCAACUAUAAAGAUAAAGCAAAAUGACGUCAAAAUAGCCACCAAGAAAAGUUAACUCUUUCCUGGAUAGGUAUGUUUAGUGGGACAAGACUGCCCUCUAUAGACCAAAUACUAAAUUGCUAUCUGGAAGGUAACCACACCUCCAGUGUUCCUAUUGGUCUAUCAACUAGUGAAUUUUCCCUUUAAAAAGUUAAGACAGAGGGAAGAGAAGGGGCAGAAAAGAAGAAAGAGGGAGGCGAGGAAUACAAGGGUAUACAAAGGAAGCAAAGAAGCGAGCAGUCGGGAGCAAUGACACUCUGGACACUCAGAAAUUCCUACACACCUCCAUGCAGAGAGACAUCCAAAUAAGUUCCUGAGACUACCUACCAAUCUGAGGAAAUAUCUACUCAACUGGUAAUUAUACUGGUUUCAUUUAAUUAUUUAAAUUAAUUAAAAUUUACUAAUAGCAUGAUAUAUGACUGGAUAAAUCACGGUCAGAUUUUCAUAUUAAGAAAUCUUAGUUAACUAAAGAAUAUAUAGUUAUAAACAUUGCAUUCUGCAGGUGGAAUUAAGAAUGAUUAUAUAUUAAUGUGAUAGUAUCACAUGUUAGCAUACUGCUGUUUUUAUCCAGGUGUAUUGAUUUGCUCUAAUAUAAAAUAAGAUAUCUUUUAGACAAAUUAAAUUCGGCUUUUGUAAAAAUCUGGUAGAUUGUUCUUAUUGGAUGGUUCCAGGAAAUGACUAAUGAGCUGAUUUAAAUGUUAUUCUAUUUAAAAUUACAUAAGUAUAGGAUACUAUAUGCCUAGGAGGAUCUAGCCAGCAUUGAAAGGUUUAUUCAGUUGAUCUAACUGUUAGCCAGGGUUUUAUGGCCCUUCGCUGUGAAAAGCUUUGCUUUCUGUGUCUGUAAGGAUACCUCAUAAAUCGUGUCUUGACAGAAAAUGCUGUUUAGCCAUUGAAACGUGUAUACCCAUUCCAUUGUAUUGCAUAUCAUUUUAUACUGGAUAUGUACUGAUUAUCAUCAUGCAUGUUACAUAUUAUUAUUGUUAAUUAUUGG